UAAAGAUUCAUCGCUGAUAGAUAGGCAUGCGUUCCAUUAGGCAGUUGGCGGGGUAACGGCCCACCAAACCGACGAUGGAUAGGGGUUCUGAGAGGAAGGUCCCCCACAUUGGUACUGAGACACGGACCAAACUCCUACGGGAGGCAGCAGUGAGGAAUAUUGGUCAAUGGGCGCGAGCCUGAACCAGCCAAGUCGCGUGAGGGAUGAAGGUUCUAUGGAUCGUAAACCUCUUUUAUAAGGGAAUAAAGUGUGGGACGUGUCCUAUUUUGUAUGUACCUUAUGAAUAAGGAUCGGCUAACUCCGUGCCAGCAGCCGCGGUAAUACGGAGGAUCCGAGCGUUAUCCGGAUUUAUUGGGUUUAAAGGGUGCGUAGGCGGCCUUUUAAGUCAGCGGUGAAAGUCUGUGGCUCAACCAUAGAAUUGCCGUUGAAACUGGGGGGCUUGAGUAUGUUUGAGGCAGGCGGAAUGCGUGGUGUAGCGGUGGAAUGCUUAGAUAUCACGCAGAACCCCGAUUGCGAAGGCAGCCUGCCAAGCCAUGACUGACGCUGAUGCACGAAAGCGUGGGGAUCAAACAGGAUUAGAUACCCUGGUAGUCCACGCAGUAAACGAUGAUCACUAGCUGUUUGCGAUACAGUGUAA
rnacentral:rRNA from 1 species